rnacentral:sRNA from 1 species
GAAGUAUGUACAGCACAUCAGCCUCUCGCCUGACUCCAUCCAGAACGAUGAGGCCGUGGCCCCGCUCAUGAAGUACCUGGAUGAGAAGCUGGCCCUGCUGAACGCCUCGCUGGUGAAGGGGAACCUGAGCAGGUGCGGGCAGGUGGGGUGGGAUAGGCUGGCCCGUGGUCACUGAUGCUGCCCUGCAGGGUGCUGGAGGAGGCCCUGCCCUGCAGGGUGCUGGAGGCCCUGUGGGAGCUACUCCUCCAGGCCAUUCUGCAGGCGCUGGGUGCAAACCGUGACGUCUCUGCUGAUUUCUACAGCCGCUUCCACUUCACGCUGGAGGUAGAGCUCUGUGAAGGAGUCCUUCCCGCUGGCCCCCGCCUCAGGGCUGCUCUGAUCCCUCCCUUUGUCCCCGCUGGCCUGCCUGGUCUCCUCUGCCUGGAGAACAGCCACUCCAGGGCUGUCCACAGCGCCUCCU